rnacentral:rRNA from 1 species
UACGGGGGGGGCAAGCGUUGUUCGGAAUUACUGGGCGUAAAGGGCUCGUAGGCGGCCAACUAAGUCGGACGUGAAAUCCCCAGGCUCAACCUGGGAACUGCGUCUGAUACUGGUUGGCUUGAAUCCGGGAGAGGGAUGCAGAAUUCCUGGUGUAGCGGUGAAAUGCGCAGAUAUCAGGAGGAACACCAAUGGCGAAGGCAGCACUCUGGGACGUGACUGACGCUGAGACGCGAAAGCGUGGGGAGCAAACAGG